UACGUAGGGUGCAAGCGUUAAUCGGAAUUACUGGGCGUAAAGCGUGCGCAGGCGGUUGUGUAAGACAGAUGUGAAAUCCCCGGGCUCAACCUGGGAACUGCAUUUGUGACUGCACGGCUCGAGUGCGGCAGAGGGGGAUGGAAUUCCACGUGUAGCAGUGAAAUGCGUAGAGAUGUGGAGGAACACCGAUGGCGAAGGCAGCCCCCUGGGCUAACACUGACGCUCAUGCACGAAAGCGUGGGGAGCAAACAGG
rnacentral:rRNA from 1 species